rnacentral:rRNA from 1 species
AUUGAACGCUGGCGGCAGGCCUAACACAUGCAAGUCGAGCGGAUGAAGGGAGCUUGCUCCUGGAUUCAGCGGCGGACGGGUGAGUAAUGCCUAGGAAUCUGCCUGGUAGUGGGGUAUAACGUCCGGAAACGGGCGCUAAUACCGCAUACGUCCUGAGGGAGAAAGUGGGGGAUCUUCGGACCUCACGCUAUCAGAUGUUCCUAGGUCGGAUUCGCUAGUUGGUGUGGUAAAGGCCUACCAAGGCGACGAUCCGUAACUGGUCUGAGAGGAUGAUCAGUCACACUGGAACUGAGACACGGUCCAGACGCCUACGGGAGGCAGCAGUGGGGAAUAUUGGACAAUGGGCGAAAGCCUGAUCCAGCCAUGCCGCGUGUGUGAAGAAGGUCUUCGGAUUGUAAAGCACUUUAAGUUGGGAGGAAGGGCAGUAAGUUAAUACCUUGCUGUUUUGACGUUACCAACAGAAUAAGCACCGGCUAACUUCGUG